GAUGAACGCUGGCGGCGUGCCUAAUACAUGCAAGUCGAGCGAACAGACGAGGAGCUUGCUCCUCUGACGUUAGCGGCGGACGGGUGAGUAACACGUGGAUAACCUACCUAUAAGACUGGGAUAACUUCGGGAAACCGGCUCUAAUACCGGAUAAUAUAUUGAACCGCAUUGUUCAAUAGUGAAAGACGGUUUUGCUGGCACUUAUAGAUGGAUCCGCGCCGCAUUAGCUAGUUGGUAAGGUAACGGCUUACCAAGGCAACGAUGCGUAGACGACCUGAGAGGGUGAUCGGCCACCCUGGAACGGGGACGCGGUCCAGACUCCUAAGGGAGGCCGCAGUAGGGAAUCUUACGCAGUGGGCGAGAGCUUGACGGAGCAACGCCGAGUGAGUGAUGGAGGUCUUCGGAUCGUAAAACUCUGUUAUUAGGGAAGAACAAAUGUGUAAGUAACUAUGCACGUCUUGACGGUAACGGAUCAGAAAGCCACGGCUAACUACGUG
rnacentral:rRNA from 1 species